rnacentral:rRNA from 1 species
UACGUAGGUGGCGAGCGUUAUCCGGAAUGAUUGGGCGUAAAGGGUGCGUAGGCGGCCUGCUAAGUCUGGAGUGAAAGGUACCGGCUCAACCGGUACAGGCUCUGGAAACUGGCGGGCUAGAGAGCAGGAGAGGGCGGUGGAACUCCAUGUGUAGCGGUAAAGUGCGUAGAUAUAUGGAAGAACACCAGUGGCGAAAGCGGCUCUCUGGUCUGUAACUGACGCUGAGGUUCGAAAGCGUGGGUAGCAAACAGG